GCCGGUGUAGCUCAGUUGGUAGAGCAGCUCACUUGUAAUGAGCAUGUCGGGGGUUCAAAUCCUCUCACCGGCUCCA
rnacentral:tRNA from 1 species